rnacentral:rRNA from 1 species
UGGCUCAUUAUAUAAGUUAUCGUUUAUUUGAUAGUACCUUACUACUUGGAUAACCGUGGUAAUUCUAGAGCUAAUACAUGCUGAAAAUCCUGACUUCGGAAGGGAUGUAUUUAUUAGAUUAAAAACCAAUGCCCUCUGGGCUCCUUGGUGAUUCAUAAUAACUUUUCGAAUCGCACGGCCUUGCGCCGGCGAUGGUUCAUUCAAAUUUCUUCCCUAUCAACUUUCGAUGUUUGGGUAUUGGCCAAACAUGGUCGCAACGGGUAACGGAGGGUUAGGGCUCGACCCCGGAGAAGGAGCCUGAGAAACGGCUACUACAUCCAAGGAAGGCAGCAGGCGCGCAAAUUACCCAAUCCCGAUUCGGGGAGGUAGUGACAAUAAAUACUGAUACAGGGCUCUUUUGGGUCUUGUAAUUGGAAUGAGUACAAUUUAAAUCUCUUAACGAGGAACAAUUGGAGGGCAAGUCUGGUGCCAGCAGCCGCGGUAAUUCCAGCUCCAAUAGCGUAUAUUAAAGUUGUUGUGGUUAAAAAGCUCGUAGUUGAACCUUGGGCCUGGCUGGCCGGUCCGCCUCACCGCGUGUACUGGUCCGGCCGGGCCUUUCCCUCUGUGGAACCUCAUGCCCUUCACUGGGUGUGGCGGGGAAACAGGACUUUUACUUUGAAAAAAUUAGAGUGCUCCAGGCAGGCCUAUGCUCGAAUACAUUAGCAUGGAAUAAUAAAAUAGGACGUGUGGUUCUAUUUUGUUGGUUUCUAGGACCGCCGUAAUGAUUAAUAGGGACAGUCGGGGGCAUCAGUAUUCAAUUGUCAGAGGUGAAAUUCUUAGAUUUAUUGAAGACUAACUACUGCGAAAGCAUUUGCCAAGGAUGUUUUCAUUAAUCAGGAACGAAAGUUAGGGGAUCGAAGACGAUCAGAUACCGUCGUAGUCUUAACCAUAAACUAUGCCGACUAGGGAUCGGACGAUGUUAUUUUUUNGACGCGUUCGGCACCUUACGAGAAAUCAAAGUGCUUGG